rnacentral:rRNA from 1 species
UACGUAGGGGGCAAGCGUUGUCCGGAAUCAUUGGGCGUAAAGAGCGCGUAGGCGGUCCGGUAAGUCAGCUGUGAAAGUCAAGGGCUCAACCCUUGAAAGCCGGUUGAUACUGUCGGGCUAGAGUCCGGAAGAGGCGAGUGGAAUUCCCGGUGUAGCGGUGAAAUGCGCAGAUAUCGGGAGGAACACCAAUGGCGAAGGCAGCUCGCUGGGACGGUACUGACGCUGAGACGCGAAAGCGUGGGGAGCGAACAGG